UACGUAGGGGGCAAGCGUUGUCCGGAAUCAUUGGGCGUAAAGAGCGUGUAGGCGGUUCGGUAAGUCGGCUGUGAAAGUCCAGGGCUCAACCCUGGGAUGCCGGUCGAUACUGCCGGACUAGAGUUCGGAAGAGGCGAGUGGAAUUCCCGGUGUAGCGGUGAAAUGCGCAGAUAUCGGGGAGGAACACCUAUGGCGAAGGCAGCUCGCUGGGACGUUACUGACGCUGAGACGCGAAAGCGUGGGGAGCAAACAGG
rnacentral:rRNA from 1 species